GUGAGGCAUGCUAGGAAUGACCAGUACAAAACUAAAACAAAGAAUAUCUGGACAUAGAUCAAACUUGAAAAAGCUAAAAACACUACUAGACAAAGGGUAUACAAACGAAGACGCGGAGGUUAGCUGGGUGAGGGAAAAAACGGCACUUGUUAACCAUGCAGCAACGAUGGACCAUAAUUUUAGGCUAGACGAAACAAACAUCAUAGAUAGGACAUUCAAAACAAACAAUCUACACAUUCUUGAAAGUUGCCACAUAUACAACACUAACAAUACUGUAAACAAACGCACAGACACUGACAAUCUCCAUGUAGCUUAUGCCGGACUAUUACAUUUACUGAAAAACGAGACGACGAAUAGAAGAUGACGAUCAAAACAAAAUAGACAGAUGAGAGAAUCUUCUCAGGGUUAGAUAGUUAAGACACACACUAAACUAAACAGAGAGAAAGUGACUCACACAAACAAAAAAAAUAUCAUGCGAAAAGCAAUGGUGAAAGAUUCCAAAAACAGGGACCGAAUUCUAGACCGCCCGAUAGGUAGGAGAUUGUCCGCAUCACGACGGUUGAAAACCGAACGGACUCAAUCUAUACCAAAACUUCCGCAUGACAUUUUUGAGUUUAGCAAAGCCAUCUUGACUAGGAAACCUUGACCGAUUGGUAAAUUGUAAAACUAAUUAAAUGUUUAAAAUUUUGUAUUGAUAGUUGAAUAAUUAUAUUUUAGAACCCUUGAAAAAGGUCCCAUACGGACCGAAACGUCGGGAAAAAUCAUAAA